rnacentral:RNase_P_RNA from 1 species
CGGGCCGGACAGGCGGUCGCUUUCCCGGUUCCGGGAAGGAGGAAAGUCCGGACUCCCGCGGGCAGCGUGCCGGGGAAAUCCCGGUCGGGGCAACCCGAAGGAAAGUGGCACAGAAAACAGACCGCCCCGCGGGCCUCAGCGCCCGUGUGGUAAGGGUGAAAAGGUGCGGUAAGAGCGCACCGCGAACCCUGGCAACAGGGUCGGCAGGCUAAACCCCACGCGGAGCAAGACCGAAUAGGGAGGCGCCAGGGACGCCCGCUCCCGCGGCCGAAAGGCCAGCGCUUCCGGGUAGGUCGCUCGAGGCCGGCCGGAAGGCCGGUCCCAGAGGAAUGACCGCCGGUCCCCUUCGCGCGAGCGGGGGGACGACAGAAUCCGGCUUACCGUCCGGCCCGGGUC